GGAGGGUCCUGGGUUGGGUUUAUCACUGCUCUUGAUAGUCUCAGGGUAAUCAUUGAGUUGCACAGAGCACCUUUCCACACCUGAGCAGCUGGCUGGACUCCCAGACAUACACAGCGCUGCUGUAUCCUGAGAGGGUGUGACUGCGUGAGACACUUCAAGCUCUGCCAGCACUGUGAGGACCCAAACCCUGAAGAUACAGACCAUGGACAGGGAUGCAACCAGCGCUGACGACCCCUUCACCUACGAUUAUGCCAAGCUGUCGAUCGGGGGUCUGGUGUUUGUCGGUGUCAUUGUGUGUCUGGCGAUCCUGCUGCUGCUGAGUGAUAGAAUAUGCAAAUCCAAAAAGAGACCUCUGGUGAACAGCGACGGAGAUGAGUGGGAGCUGGGGACUCUCUCUGGGGGCAUUUCCUAACACAAAUCCCAAUGCUGUUUUCUUAAUGUCAUGGUCAACCCUCACGCUGGAAACAAACCCUUU